UACAGAGGUCCCAAGCGUUGUUCGGAUUCAUUGGGCGUAAAGGGGUGCGUAGGUGGCGUGUAAGUCGGGUGUGAAAUUUCGGAGCUUAACUCCGAAACUGCAUUCGAUAACUGCGGUGCUUGAGGACUGGAGAGGAGACUGGAAUUCAUGGUGUAGCAGUGAAAUGCGUAGAGAUCAAUGAGGAAGACCAGUGGCGAAGGCGG
rnacentral:rRNA from 1 species